rnacentral:rRNA from 1 species
UACGAAGGGGGCUAGCGUUACUCGGAUUUACUGGGCGUAAAGAGCGCGCAGGCGGUCGUACAAGUCGCGUGUGAAAGCCCCCGGCUCAACUGGGGAGGGUCACGCGAUACUGUUCGACUCGAAGGCAGGAGAGGGAAGCGGAAUUCCCGGUGUAGUGGUGAAAUGCGUAGAUAUCGGGAGGAACACCAGUGGCGAAGGCGGCUUCCUGGCCUGUUCUUGACGCUGAGGCGCGAAAGCUAGGGUAGCAAACGGG